GAUGAACGCUGGCGGCGUGCCUAAUACAUGCAAGUCGAGCGAACAGACGAGGAGCUUGCUCCUCUGACGUUAGCGGCGGACGGGUGAGUAACACGUGGAUAACCUACCUAUAAGACUGGGAUAACUUCGGGAAACCGGAGCUAAUACCGGAUAAUAUAUUGAACCGCAUGGUUCAAUAGUGAAAGACGGUUUUGCUGUCACUUAUAGAUGGAUCCGCGCCGCAUUAGCUAGUUGGUAAGGUAACGGCUUACCAAGGCAACGAUGCGUAGCCGACCUGAGAGAGUGAUAGGCCACACUGGAACUGAGACACGGUCCAGGGUCCUGCGGGAGGCCGCAGUAGGGAAUCUUCCGCAAUGGGCGAAAACAUGACGGAGCAGCGCCGCGUGAGUGAUGAAGGUCUUCGGAUCGUAAAACUCUGUUAUUAGGGAAGAACAAAUGUGUAAGUAACUAUACACGUCUUGACGGUACCUGAUCAGAAAGCCACGGCUAACUACGUG
rnacentral:rRNA from 1 species